UACGUAGGGUGCAAGCGUUGUCCGGAAUUAUUGGGCGUAAAGAGCUUGUAGGCGGUUUGUCGCGUCUGCUGUGAAAUUUCGGGGCUCAACCCCGAACUUGCAGUGGGUACGGGCAGACUAGAGUGUGGUAGGCGAGACUGGAAUUCCUGGUGUAGCGGUGAAAUGCGCAGAUAUCAGGAGGAACACCGAUGGCGAAGGCAGGUCUCUGGGCCAUAACUGACGCUGAGAAGCGAAAGCAUGGGGAGCGAACAGG
rnacentral:rRNA from 1 species